rnacentral:sRNA from 1 species
GCCUGGUCCAAGAAGCUAAGGACACUAGGACCUUAGAAGAGGUCUCAUUUUCCAACUCUGAGUUCUUCAUCCAUUUCCUCUUUUUCUCUCUAAGUUCAGCUUCACUUUCUUAUUCUUGCUCUGAUUUUUCUCUACUUUUCCACCACUUCCCACUGUUGUCGUUUACGGAGUUGAGAGCUUUCCCUUCAUCCGAUUAGAUUUUCAUUUUGGACGGAUACUGUUGAACUUGCUUCUGUGCAAGAGUACUGUUUUGGGGUUUCCUCUAAAGAGUGUUGUGCUUGUAACCCCUAAGAUGAAGAGGAGGUGUCUGUGGAGCAAGCGCUGGAAGAAGGUGAUGCUGCAGUUUAUUAUGUCUAGGAUCUUGAUUAGUAGUAUUAUUCUAAUGAUAAUUCACAGUGGUUCUUUAUGUUUAAGAGACCAACUCUGAUUUUAUUUUGGAUGUAACCAAUAUAGUCUGUUAUAUGUC